rnacentral:tRNA from 1 species
GGGGGUGUAGCUCAGUGGUAGAGUGCUUGACUUCCAAGUCCCUGAGUUCGAAUCCUAGCACCACAA